UGCAAAAUAGGCCGUUACCUACAGCUGAUGAGCUCCAAGAAGAGCGAAACCUGUUAAAAUAGGUCCUGUAGUAUUGGCCAAGAGA